rnacentral:rRNA from 1 species
GUAGUCAUAUGCUUGUCUCAAAGAUUAAGCCAUGCAUGUCUAAGUAUAAGCAAUUAUACCGCGAAACUGCGAAUGGCUCAUUAAAUCAGUUAUCGUUUAUUUGAUAGUACCUUACUACAUGGAUAACCGUGGUAAUUCUAGAGCUAAUACAUGCUAAAAAUCCCGACUUCGGAAGGGAUGUAUUUAUUAGAUUAAAAACCAAUGCCCUUCGGGGCUCUCUGGUGAUUCAUAAUAACUUCUCGAAUCGCACGGCCUUGCGCCGGCGAUGGUUCAUUCAAAUUUCUGCCCUAUCAACUUUCGACGGCUGGGUCUUGGCCAGCCGUGGUGACAACGGGUAACGGAGGGUUAGGGGUGGACCCCGGAUAAGGAGCCUGANAAACGGCUACUACAUCCAAGGAAGGCAGCAGGCGCGCAAAUUACCCAAUCCCGACACGGGGAGGUAGUGACAAUAAAUACUGAUACAGGGCUCUUUCNGGUCUUGUAAUUGGAAUGAGUACAAUUUAAAUCCCUUAACGAGGAACAAUUGGAGGGCAAGUCUGGUGCCAGCAGCC